rnacentral:rRNA from 1 species
UAGUCAUAUGCUUGUUUCAAAGAUUAACCCAUGCAAGUCUAAUAACAUGCCGUUAUAAGGUGAGACCGCGAAGGGCUCAUUAUAUCAUUUGGGGUUCCUUAAAUCUUCGGUUACUCUUGGAUAACCCUGGUAAUUCAAAACCUAAUACAUGCAUUCCACCACCAACCUUCGGGGAGGUGUGUUUUUAUUACCCCAAAACCAAUCGGUCCUUUAGGGUGCCAAAAUCGGGGUGACUCAGAUUAACUUGGGUCGGAUCGCAGGGCUCUGUGCCGGCAACCCAUCUUUCAAAUGUCUGCCUUAUCAAUUGGUUGGUGGGUUAAAUGCCACCCAAGGGGGUAACGGGUAACGAAAAAUCAGGGUUCGAUACCGGAAAGGGAGCCUGAAAAACGGCUACCACUUCCAAGGAAGGCAGCAGGCACGCAAAUUACCCCCUCUCCAAUCGAGGAGGUAGGGACAAAAAAUAACAAUACCGGACUCUUCCAAGGUUUGGUAAUUGGAAUGGGUACACUUCAAAUCCUUUAACGAGGAUCCAUUGA